GCCUGGAUAGCUCAGCUGGUUACAGCUUGGUGCCAAAAAUGCCCAGGUUAUAGGUUUGAUCCCCAUAUGGGACA